rnacentral:rRNA from 1 species
GAUGAACGCUGGCGGCGUGCUUAACACAUGCAAGUCGAACGAUGAAGGAGGAGCUUGCUCCUCCGGAUUAGUGGCGAACGGGUGAGUAACACGUGAGCAAUCUGCCCCUGACUCUGGGAUAAGCGUUGGAAACGACGUCUAAUACCGGAUACGAGCUGAGAAGGCAUCUUCAGCAGCUGGAAAGAACUUCGGUCAGGGAUGAGCUCGCGGCCUAUCAGGUAGUUGGUGAGGUAACGGCUCACCAAGCCUACGACGGGUAGCCGGCCUGAGAGGGUGACCGGCCACACUGGGACUGAGACACGGCCCAGACUCCUACGGGAGGCAGCAGUGGGGAAUAUUGCACAAUGGGCGAAAGCCUGAUGCAGCAACGCCGCGUGAGGGACGAAGGCCUUCGGGUCGUAAACCUCUUUUAGCAGGGAAGAAGCGAAAGUGACGGUACCUGCAGAAAAAGCACCGGCUAACUACGUGCCAGCCGCCGCCGUAAAAC